UUGGCCGUAGCAAUAGAAAACCUAAAUGUAUAUGUGAAGGCAUACGACGUGCUCUCUAGCGGAAACUAGAUAAAUCAUUAAUUUGUCCACUUUACGUACUUGCCCAGUAUCUGUAGAAUCUAACAACCAGUGAUCAGCUUACUACAUCUCAGUCGACAAGAGGCAAACUGGUGACUUUUUAUCAGGAAGUUAGCAAAUUGGAUAUAAAGAUGACUGUGUAAAUUUUGGAUGCUGCUUCUACACACUUCGAACGUGUUUUUGUGAAGAAUAUAUAUCGAGCCGUGUUCAUGGAUGUGGACAAGGUAUGCAACAUAUGCGAUGAAGCACUGGAGUCUGCUACGUUGCCAGUCGUCACGUAAGAGAAA
rnacentral:misc_RNA from 1 species